rnacentral:rRNA from 1 species
AGUGAACGCUGGCGGCAGGCCUAACACAUGCAAGUCGAACGGCAGCACGGGAGAGCUUGCUCUCUGGGUGGCGAGUGGCGGACGGGUGAGGAAUGCGUCGGAAUCUGCCUAUUUGUGGAGGAUAACGUAGGGAAACUUACGCUAAUACCGCAUACGACCUACGGGUGAAAGUGGGGGACCGCAAGGCCUCACGCAGAUAGAUGAGCCGACGCCGGAUUAGCUAGUUGGCGGGGUAAAGGCCCACCAAGGCGACGAUCCGUAGCUGGUCUGAGAGGAGGAUCAGCCACACUGGAACUGAGAAACGGUCCAGACUCCUACGGGAGGCAGCAGUGGGGAAUAUUGGACAAUGGGCGCAAGCCUGAUCCAGCCAUGCCGCGUGUGUGAAGAAGGCCUUCGGGUUGUAAAGCACUUUUGUCCGGAAAGAAAAGCAUUCGGCUAAUAACCGGGUGUUAUGACGGUACCGGAAGAAUAAGCACCGGCUAACUUCGUGCCAGCAGCCGCCGUAACAC